rnacentral:rRNA from 1 species
UACAGGGGGGGCAAGCGUUGUUCGGAAUUACUGGGCGUAAAGGGCUCGUAGGUGGCCAACUAAGUCAGACGUGAAAUCCCUCGGCUUAACCGGGGAACUGCGUCUGAUACUGGAUGGCUUGAGUUUGGGAGAGGGAUGCGGAAUUCCAGGUGUAGCGGUGAAAUGCGUAGAUAUCUGGAGGAACACCGGUGGCGAAGGCGGCAUCCUGGACCAACAUUGACGCUGAGGAGCGAAAGCUAGGGGAGCAAACGGG